rnacentral:rRNA from 1 species
AAUAGAUACCCGGGUAGUCCACGCAGUAAACGAUGAUUACUCGCUGUUUGCGAUACACAGUAAGCGGCUUAGCGAAAGCGUUAAGUAAUCCACCUGGGGAGUACGUUCGCAAGAAUGAAACUCAAAGGAAUUGACGGGGGCCCGCACAAGCGGAGGAACAUGUGGUUUAAUUCGAUGAUACGCGAGGAACCUUACCCGGGCUUGAAAUGCAUCUGACAGGAGCAGAGACGCUCUCUCCCUUCGGGGCAGAUGUGUAGGUGCUGCAUGGUUGUCGUCAGCUCGUGCCGUGAGGUGUCGGCUUAAGUGCCAUAACGAGCGCAACCCUCAUCAUUAGUUACCAUCAGGUUAAGCUGGGGACUCUAAUGAGACUGCCAUCGUAAGAUGUGAGGAAGGUGGGGAUGACGUCAAAUCAGCACGGCCCUUACGUCCGGGGCGACACACGUGUUACAAUGGAUGGUACAAAGGGCAGCUACAUGGCGACAUGAUGCUAAUCUCCAAAACCAUUCUC